rnacentral:rRNA from 1 species
UACGUAGGGUGCAAGCGUUAAUCGGAAUUACUGGGCGUAAAGCGUGCGCAGGCGGUUUUGUAAGUUUGUCGUGAAAUCCCCGGGCUCAACCCUGGGAAUGGCGAUGAAGACUGCAAGGCUAGAAUCUGGCAGAGGGGGGUAGAAUUCCACGUGUAGCAGUGAAAUGCGUAGAGAUGUGGAGGAACACCGAUGGCGAAGGCG